rnacentral:rRNA from 1 species
CACGGCGGGUGCUAACGUCCGUCGUGAAGAGGGAAACAACCCAGACCGCCAGCUAAGGUCCCAAAGUCAUGGUUAAGUGGGAAACGAUGUGGGAAGGCCCAGACAGCCAGGAUGUUGGCUUAGAAGCAGCCAUCAUUUAAAGAAAGCGUAAUAGCUCACUGGUCGAGUCGGCCUGCGCGGAAGAUGUAACGGGGCUAAACCAUGCACCGAAGCUGCGGCAGCGACACUGUGUGUUGUUGGGUAGGGGAGCGUUCUGUAAGCCUGUGAAGGUGUGUCGUGAGGC